rnacentral:tRNA from 1 species
ACGGUCGUGAUAACGUAACCGAAUAGCAAACCAAGCUUUAUUUACUAGGUAGUCCGGUGCCGUG